AAUUCUCAACCAUUCUCUCUUGAUCGAGAGUAUGGCUUGGACUUGGGGGUUGCUGGCAGGACUGUCAGCUCUCCUUAAAUGCAUUAGCAAUCGAGUUGGCUAGUCUUUUGACGUACACGGCCUCGGACGUGAUAAUGAUCGUCGUGGCUGGAGCGUCUUUCCUAGACUAUGUACAUAGAUCGCUUCUAAUCUGUUGUUGUCUAUCGAGCUUAGCUACUAGGCAGUCUUUUUGGCUGGCGAACGCAAGGGAGACAGAGACAUUCACAUUCUCAAAAG
rnacentral:misc_RNA from 1 species